UUUAUCGCUUCCCUGCAUAUAUUAAACCACCAUCGGCAAACUGUUUGUCAGGCUGAGCUCGGUUUUCUGUGCUGCCGAAUACUACAAAACCAGUCAAAGCCUUUAUGGCAUAAUUAUGGCUUAUGUGCCCGGUUGUUGGCACAUAGCCGGUUUAUUAUUUUAAUCGAUUUUUAAUAAUUAACAAGAAAAAUUAUUAAUUAAUAACUAUAUAACAUUUAGCACAGAAAAGGUGGGGGCAUUACUAACGCCACAAGUCUCCUUGGGAUAAAGGAGACACACCCCACCCCAACCUGGCAAACCGUUUGCAGAUGAUCAUGAAAAAUAUCUACGUAUAUAUUGAUACCACAUGUUACGAAAACCUCAAUCUAUGUCAGUUUGACUGCAUAUGCUAUUGUCAGUCAAAAGCAAUGAACUUACACUGGUCUAGAUAAUAACAGUGCUAUUAAUUACCUAGUUUACUAUACAAGCCUCCACUGGAAUAAACUGAUGAUCAGCUGAAAUGUGAACCUUACCCAUGUGUCAGUUCAAUAUCCAACCGAUGACCAAUAAGUGUCUCCAGAGGCGAUAAAAUACCGUAUUAUACGAGUUUCUAGCGAAAUAAAUAUCAUCAGCUGAAAUGUGAACCUUACCCUUGUGUCGGUUCAACAUCCAGCGAUGAUGAAUAAGUAAGAUAAAAUACCUAGGCAAUCACCA